ensembl:lncRNA
CUAACUGUGGACCAUUCAUCUCAUCUCAAGUGAGGUAACCCGUGCACUGAGCAGUGGAUGGUGGUUCUCGGGAAUCCAAGGCGAAAGAACUUCCCACCUUGGCCCGGUGGCUAAACGCAGACGCGGAGUCCCCACCCGCCCCCUCCGGCUACACCUCAGCCGGGUGUGAGCUCCGUGGGAAGGAAUCUUCUCCGGAGGAGUGCACCUUGCCAACAGGUGUGGCAUCCGAAGGAAGAGCCCGCACCUCCCCAGGAGGGUCGCUCGGUGUGGCGAUCUCUUUGCUGCAGAUAAUUCUUGAAGACCACUGUCUUUGAAACUGAACAGAAGCUUGUUGGCUGCGUGUGGAAGAGAGGCGUCUGCUUUGUGCUACAGGGUUUGGUCCAGAUGCUCAUGGCUGGCCCACCAGUACCUCUCAGAAACGCACCCUGAAAUGCCAUGACACUGAGAGCCACAGACUACACUGGUUGCGAUGGCUGAGAGCCAUUAUUACUUCGUCAGCAAGCUGGAGAUCAAGGACAUCAGUGCCACUCGGA